UUAAGGCAUUUUAAAUAUAGCUUAGUUAAACAAUAUGAGGCAUAAUGCCCUACAACGUAGCGGUGUCGUAUGAUUAGAAAAUAUUUGCCAUACUUAACUUUAUAAGUAUUAAUAAAUUUCUAAUCAUGUGGCACUUUAAUCGCUAUCCCAUAUUAAAUUAGGGAAUGGGACUCUUCACCGAGGUUGUAAAAUGAGACAAACGUUUUUAGCUGUAU
rnacentral:ncRNA from 1 species